rnacentral:rRNA from 1 species
AGUGAACGCUGGCGGUAGGCCUAACACAUGCAAGUCGAACGGCAGCACAGUAAGAGCUUGCUCUUACGGGUGGCGAGUGGCGGACGGGUGAGGAAUACAUCGGAAUCUACUUUUUCGUGGGGGAUAACGUAGGGAAACUUACGCUAAUGCCGCAUACGACCUACGGGUGAAAGCAGGGGAUCUUCGGACCUUGCGCGAUUGAAUGAGCCGAUGUCGGAUUAGCUAGUUGGCGGGGUAAAGGCCCACAAAGGCGACGAUCCGUAGCUGGUCUGAGAGGAUGAUCAGCCACACUGGAACUGAGACACGGUCCAGACUCCUACGGGAGGCAGCAGUGGGGAAUAUUGGACAAUGGGCGCAAGCCUGAUCCAGCCAUACCGCGUGGGUGAAGAAGGCCUUCGGGUUGUAAAGCCCUUUUGUUGGGAAAGAAAAGCAGCAGGUUAAUACCCCGCUGUUCUGACGGUACCCAAAGAAUAAGCACCGGCUAACUUCGUG